AGUGAACGCUGGCGGUAGGCCUAACACAUGCAAGUCGAACGGCAGCACAGUAAGCGCUUGCUCUUACGGGUGGCGAGUGGCGGACGGGUGAGGAAUACAUCGGCAUCUACUUUUUCGUGGGGGAUAACGUAGGGAAACUUACGCUAAUACAGCAUACGACCUACGGGUGAAAGCAGGGGAUCUUCGGACCUUGCGCGAUUGAAUGAGCCGAUGUCGGAUUAGCUAGUUGGCGGGGUAAAGGCCCACCAAGGCGACGAUCCGUAGCUGGUCUGAGAGGAUGAUCAGCCACACUGGAACUGAGACACGGUCCAGACUCCUACGGGAGGCAGCAGUGGGGAAUAUUGGACAAUGGGCGCAAGCCUGAUCCAGCCAUACCGCGUGGGUGAAGAAGGCCUUCGGGUUGUAAAGCCCUUUUGUUGGGAAAGAAAAGCAGCAGGUUAAUACCCCGCUGUUCUGACGGUACCCAAAGAAUAAGCACCGGCUAACUUCGUG
rnacentral:rRNA from 1 species